UACUUUGGAUUUCCUGCUCCUGGAUCCUUUGUGUUUCUCUUUCUUGGUUUCUUUUGAUCUUGGAGAAGCCCCUGCUCUAAUAGUCUCAUGGAAAAGAUUGUUCUUAAGAUAUUCCCUUUGUCUUCCAUUUUCCAAAAUGUCGUGAUAAUAUGCCUUUGUAUGGAUCCAUUUUCAUUCAGUAUCAAGGCCUUGGAGGACUCUUUCAAUCUAGAAAUGCUUGUCCUUCCAUUCUGAGAAUUUUUAAAAAUUAUUUCCUCCCUUUUCAUCCCCCUCUUUCUGUCUCAGCUCCAGAAUUGAUCCUCCAUUUUUAAAAAAACUUUCUCUUUUAUUUUCCAUGUCUUUUUCUUUUGCUUGGUUUUCUAGGAGGUUUCCUCAAUUUCAUCUUACAAACCUUGUAUUGAGUUUUUAAGAUCUGCUAUCAUACUUUAAUUGGCAAAAGUUCUUUUGGAUUUUCCUUUUUAUUGCAUCUUAUCUUGUUCCAUGGAUGGAAUGGUUUCUUUUUUACCUUUGAGAUUAUUAAUGAUAGUUUGAGGGAAUAUUUUUCUUCUCACUGCAUAGUCUCUUGUCCUCUGAGUUUUUUGUUCCUGUUUUCUUGUUUUGGCAAAUCUGUUUCUGCAGAUAACUGAUGACCCUUGGCUGUCUAUUCAUGUAUCUAGUAAGGCACCAAAAAGACAAUCAGAGGCUCUGAGCAUGUGAUAGGGCACAUUCGAAGCAAGCAGAUCUUUGUGUUCCUGACUAGACUGUUUCUUUGUGUCAUUCCAAUACUAUAUCAUAAUUUUUUUUUUCUGUAGGCUGUCAGAAUCUGCAAAGAAGCUUCUCUCAGUCUCCUGCUUGAAUAUUUCAGCCUGGCUGCCAGCAUUUUAGAAGCUGAAAGAAGAGAAGAGACUGAGGAAUGGAGAAAAUAUUCAACUUAUCCUGGACAUUAGAUUAGAUUUACGUCAGGGUACAUUGAGAUAGAUUUACUAUAAGGAAUUGGCUCACAUGAUUAUGGAGGCUGAAUAGUCAAGAUCUACAAAAGUCAAGACCUGCAGUAAAGAAACUAGAGACCCAGGAGAGCUGAUGGUAUACUUCCAGAGUCCAAAGAAGGGAAGACCCAUGUCCCAGCUUGAAGACAGUCAGGAAAAAAAAAAAGACUUCUUUCUUACUCAGCCUUCUAUUCUAUUCAGGCUUUCAGCAGAUUGGAUGGAGGCCCACCCACACUGGAGAGAGCAUUCUUUCUUACUCAGUGUACUGAGUCGAAUGUUAAUCUCACUCAAAAAAAUCUUCACAGAGACAUCCAGAAUAAUGUUUAACCAUAUAUCUGGGUGCCCUGUGACCCAACCAAGUUGACACAAAAUUAGCUAUCACAGUAGGUAAUAAAUUUAGAAAAUUUGUUUCUCUAAGAUAAACUAUGGGAAAAGAAAUAGACAUGGUUUUUUUAAUACAUGGUGUAAAUACUUUAUUUGUUGCAUUGAUGUAUCUGUUGAAUAUUGUGUGUUUUUUACAUACAUUUUUAAAUGGUUUGGAAAAAUUCAUUGGCAAAAGCAUAAAUAUCUCUUCAGAGCAUGUGGGAUGAGGUUGGGGGGCUGAGGGUAAUCCUGAUUUCUUCCCGUCAUUUUGAGUGCUGUCAAAAUAGUAUUUUCAACUCCAAUGAUUUUCAUUUUACCCUCUAAUACACUAAAACAAAUAAUAUAAUUUCAACUUAGAGCCUCCAAGUCCAGGUUCCUUACAUUCCUCAUUUUCAAAUCAAUUUAAUUAAAUUUGUCUUUCCUAUUGGUCUAACA